rnacentral:lncRNA from 1 species
UUAAGCAAAAAAAAAAAAAAACGGGAAAAGAAAACGAGUUAGUUUUCAUUGAAAGCUGCACCGGCUUAACUCCAAGAUUGUGCUUUAGCAAAAGCUGCGAAGUUGAUCAUGAGGUCUGUUUACGUGCCCGAGAUAUCUGUGAAACCGGUUCAGCAUUGGAAAUAUUCAGUUUGGUUAUCAGUUCUCAUUGGGGGGGGUCAAAGGGGCAACCAAGAUUAAAACCCCUCGAAGCUCGUUUGCAGACGGUCAAAUUAUAUCUAUGCUCAAUGAUGUGUUCUCAAGGCAGAAACACGCUAACCGCGAUAAGACAUGUUUUUGAAACUUUGAUCUCGUUGCGAGCAAACUUCUUUUACCAAGCAUAGAGAAGUUUUAAGUUAUCUAUUAAAAUGUUCCGGUGUCAGAAACUAUACCACCAGCCAGGAAUCAACGUAACGUUACGUACUGGUAACGCCAUUGUAUAAAGUGUGAUACGGUAAUAGCAGUUCAUCGUAGUGCCUCACCGCUGUCAUUACAAGAAAAUACACAAUAAACUUGAGUGAUAAAUUGAACGAAACGUACGAUGUCAUCAGCAGAUCAAAUAGCAGUUAAAAUUGUGAAACGUUCCUCGCAAAUAGCUGACGAACUUUUAAACGAUGAAAUAACUGUGUAGACUUCGUUAUUCGUGUAAGAAAACACAUUGUGAUCCGUACAUAUAAAAACUGACACAUAUUGCCGGGGUUGAAUACGAUAAAGUAAUAAAUAAUAUCGUUCAAAAGUCAAAGAAUCUUUAAGCUUUGACCAUGACUAAAGACCAUGCAAAAAUCAGGGGCUAUCGUUAAGUUUCCAUUUUGAUGAAACAAUAAACAACGUAGUAAGUCUUUUUUAAUUAUUCCACAUUGUUUUAGGGUGUUUUUAUACCAAAUGGUAUGAAUGCAAAAUCUUUUAUUUUACGAAAAUGUUUUCCU